UUUAAAAAAAAAAUUGCUAUCUUUUUAGUGUUAUGCAAAAUGUCAGAAUUAAAGCUCACAGCUUGUUUGCAAUUCAUGAUGCUUUAAAAAUGUAAUAGUGUAUUGAACUCUAAUAGUAAAAGAAAUUGAUUUUUCUGCUGAGGAAGUCAGUGGUGAUAUACUGAAAAAGAAAGUGUACCAUGGAGUCAAAGAAUUAGUGAUCAGUAUAUCAAAUGUUUUGUUCUUUUUGUAUUUAACACAGUUUGAAGAGUGGGAUAUGUUUGACAUUCUGCUUUCAGACAGCUAUCAAAAGUCUGAAUUCUCAGAAUACAAAGCAGUCAACUGUGUUUGGACACGGAUCUCUCUGACAUUUAUAAAGGGGAUCUAGAUGAAAGCCAUAAAGAAGAUACUGCCCAAUCAUAAAACCGACUUCCACUGCAGACCGUGUGAAAAUAUGUAUCACACUCUUAGUCUGUAUAAGGCAUGACCCAUAUACACCAAGGAAGGGGAAGACACAAAUAUGACUUGCAAGACCCAGUAUCUUAUGAGAGAGAUGGGAAAGGCCUCAUCAUAGCACAC